rnacentral:tRNA from 1 species
GGUCCACGUGGCCUUUGUUAGACUGUGGCAGCUUGGCUUCCCCAGAGCCAAGAAGGUCCUUGGUGCAUCUGUCUCUAAACUCCUGUGUCCGCUGUUAAGGAAAAGAAGGGCUUGCGCAUGGCAGGAUUCAGGGACUGGUAGCAACGGCCGGGUCAGAAUCACAGAGUCAGAGUUCUAGAAGAUGAGUACUGUGGAGGUCUGGCUCCUGCCUUCAUUGCUAACUAGCUCCCUUCCCACAGUGGGAGGGUUACACCAGGCCCACAAAGGAGAAGAAGAGGAAAGAAGAGCAAGGGGAAGCGGCUCCUUGCAUGUGCUCAGGUUCACUCAUAGCAGCUGGUGUGUUCCCCAGCAGGGUCGGUUGAUACAACAAUAAGAAAAAUGUAUAUAUGCUAUAAUUCAAAAAGAUGCAUGCACCCCAAUGUUCACUGCAGCACUAUGUACAGUAGCCAAGACAUGGAAGUGACCUAAAUGUCCAUCAACAAAGGAAUGAGUAAAGAAGAUGUGGUAUAUAUAUAUAUACAAAGGAAUAUUACCCAGCCAUUUGCAUUAACAUGGAUACAACUAGAGAUGAUUAUAUGAAGCCAAAUAUGGGGGCUGAACUUGACCUCAAAAACAUCCAACUCCCCAGGCUCUUGAACUGGAUCCUGGUGGGGAACACUUAUGAAGGUUCAGCUGAAGCAUUGCGUUUAAGUCAUUCAUUAGCCAGCACCUGGCUGGGGGCUUUUGUGCCCCUUGGAUAGAAGCCUGCCGAAGGUCUGGGCCUCCCUGUCCUUGCCAAGGCCGCCCCAAGAAGGCAAUGGGUGCUUUACAGAAGAGCAGACACACAGUGCGUUUUGGACCAGCCCUCAGUUGUUUCCUCACCCUGGACUUCGGCUCAGGGCCUCGAAGAAGGCAAGGGACAUGGCCCCAAGCGUUACACCUGGCUCCUCAAGGAGCUGCGGUUCUGCGGCCCCACCUUAGGUGGGAUCUGAGGCCCUUAAAGCCAAGCUCAUCCUCUGUAAUUUAGGAGCUCACGUGUGUGUUUUGGCAGAAAAGGUGAGGUGCUCCGAUAGUCAAACACUGACCCCUCCUGCUUUUGGUGGUUUUCUCUCUAAGAAUCCCAUAGAUCACAGACACACUUGGGAUUUGGGGGCUAUUUAACUCCCCCUGGGACAGACAGACUUGACUCAACAGACUCCCUAGGAAAAGCACAGUGAGUUCUGAUGUACCUCCACUUAUAUCUUGGGUUCCCCAAAGAUUUGGCCCUCCGUGGCCCUAUUCUCAAUUAUUUAAUCUUCUCCAUAAGUGAGGGCACGAAUAAUAGCAGCGGGCACUUUAUCAAUUGCCUUCCCUCCAUCCCCCAAAAUAAUCCUCUUAUGGAAAAAUAGCAUUUUCUUAGGGAAAUGUUUCUUUGUUUUUGUUUGUUUGUUUGUUUGUUUGUUUGUUUAAGGGCCACUUCUGUAGCAUAUGGAAGUUCCCAGGCUAGGGGUGAAUUGGAACUGUAGCUGCCAGCCACAGCAAUGUGGGAUCUGAGCCGUGUCUGCGACCUAGUGACCUUGGCUGCAGCUUGGGACAAUGCUGGAUCCUUAACCCCAUGAGCGAGGCCAGGUAUUGAACCCGCAUCCUCGUGGAUACUCAUUGGGUUCUUAACCCUCUGAGCCACAACGGGAACUCAGGGAGAUGUUUCUUUUCACAAAGUACCCUCUUGGUGAAUUGCAUGCCUAUCCCAGCACUGCCAGCCAUUUUUCUCUUUGUCCAGCAGUGGAAACAUCCUAAGUUCUCCCUGUUUUGCUUCUCAGGCCAUCUUCCUCUGUUUCAGCUCCUUUCCUUUUCCUGUCCCCUCUCCUUCCUGACACCACCCCUGUCCCAUCCCAUCAUUUUCUUCCUUCUCCUCUCUCUUUCCCCAGGAUAGGCAAGGUACCUGGUCUCUGAGGUCCUACAGCAUCCACCCCCUGCCCCCACCCCAUCAUAGCAUUGCUCACACUGGACUGCAAUUGUCCCCUCAACCACUGGGCCCUAUGAGACAAGGGACACGGCCAGCUGACCUUGUGCCUUCAGCAUCUAGCAUGUCAUAUCGUAAAGGCUCAUUAAAUGCAUGUAAUUUAUUUUUAGUUUAUUUUAUUUGGCCAUGCCAGGGCCAUGUGGAAGUUCCCAAGCCAGAGAUCAAACCUGUGCCACAGCAGUGACAAUGCCAGGUCCUUAACCCACUGCACCACAUGGGAACUCCUAAAUGCAUGUUAUGCACAUCUUUUUUUGGGGGGGGGGACCAGGCGCACAGCAUUGCAGAAGUUCCCAGGCCAGGGAUCAAACCUGUACCACAGCAGUGAAAACAAGGGAUCCUCAACGACUAGACCACCAGGGAACUUCUAAAUGUAUGUGAUGUAAAAGAGUAUCCACUAUCUGCUUCUCCGAAAUCACUUUCCUGCAUUUCUGACAGCAGCCAGCUGGAUUUGUGGCCCUCACAUGUGCUUCAGGAAUCUAGAGUUUUGAAUGUGGCUAGUAAAAAUAUAAUGCAAGCCAUGUGCAUAAUUUUAAAUUUCCUAGUAGCCGCGUUAGGGGAAAAAAAAGUGAAAUUGGGGAGUUCCCAUCAUGGCGCAGCAGAGACAAAUCCGACUAGGAACCAUGAGGUUGUGGGUUUGAUCCCCGGCCUCAAUCAAUGGCUUAAGGAUCUGGCAUUGCUGUGAGCUGUGGUGUAGGUCGCAGACGCAGCNNNNNNNNNNCUUGCCGUUGUGGGGCUUGUGCCUGUGGCUGGCAGCUGCAACUCUGAUUGGACCUCUAGCCUGGGAACCUCCGUGUGCCACGGGUGCGGCCCUAAAAAAAAAAGGAAAUUGAAUUAAACAAUGUAGUUUAUUGAGCUCGAUAUAUCCAAAAUAUUUCAACAUGUAAUCAAAUAAGGAUUAUUAUAGAGAGAUUCUUACUGUGCAGCCCUAAAAAGCAAAAACCAAAAAAAAAAAAGAAAAAAAAA